CGGGGGUAAAGUCCGGCCGUGCCGGGGAGAGGAGAGGAGAGGAGAGGAGAGGAGAGGAGAGGCUGGCUUCCUUAUGGCACCCAAAGGUGCAAGGAGGUGCCUUAUGGGGCCCUAUGGUGCCCUAUGGGGCCCUAUGGCACCCUAUGGAUCCUUAUGGCUCCCUAUGGCACCCUAUGGCACCCUGUGGAUCCUUAUGGCUUCCUACGGGUCCCUAUGGAUCCUUAUGGCGCCCUAUGGAUCCUUAUGGCUCCCAAUGGGUUGCUAUGGAUCCUUAUGGCACCCAAAGGUGGAAGGAGGUGCCUUAUGGGGCCCUAUGGCACCCUAUGGGGCCCUAUGGCACCCUAUGGAUAUGUAUGGAUCCUUAUGGCACCCAAAGGUGCAAGGAGGCGGCUUAUGGGGCCCUAUGGUGCCCUAUGGGGCCCUAUGGAUCCUUAUGGCACCCAAAGGUGGAAUGAGGCGGCUUAUGGGGCCCUAUGGCACCCUAUGGAUCCUUAUGGCACCCAAAGGUGCAAGGAGGCACCUUAUGGGGCCCUAAGGUGCCCUAUGGGGCCCUAUGGUGCCUUAUGGGGCCCUAUGGCACCCUAUGGAUCCUUAUGGCACCCAAAGGUGCAAGGAGGCGGCUUAUGGGGCCCUAUGGUGGCUUAUGGGGCCCUAUGGUGCCCUAUGGAUCCUUAUGGGUCCCUACGGAUCCUUAUGGCACCCUAUGGAUCCUUAUGGCACCCUAUGGAUCCUAUGGAUCCUUAUGGCACCCUAUGGAUAUGUAUGGAUCCUUAUGGCACCCAAAGGUGCAAGGAGGCGCCUUAUGGGGCCCUAUGGGAUCCUAUGGAUCCUUAUGGCGCCCAAAGGUGGAAGGAGGUGGCUUAUGGGGCCCUAUGGUGCCCUAUGGGGCCCUCUGGCACCCUAUGGAUCCUUAUGGCUCCCUAUGGCACCCUAUGGCACCCUAUGGAUCCUUAUGGC
ensembl:lncRNA